rnacentral:rRNA from 1 species
AACGAACGCUGGCGGCAUGCUUAACACAUGCAAGUCGAACGAGACCUUCGUGCUUAUUUGCGCACGUCUGCGUAACGCGUGGGAACCUGCCCUUAGGUUCGCAAUAACUCCCCGAAAGGUGUCUUAAUACCGGAUAAUCUCUUCCCACCAAAGAUGUCUCGCUUUUGGAUGGGCCCGCGUUGGAUUCGCUAGUUGGUAGUGUAUUAGCCUAUCAAGGCGUCGAUCCAUAGCUGGUCUGAGAGCAUGAUCAACCACGCUGGAACUAAGACACGGCCCAGGCUCCGACGAGAGGGAGGAGUGGAGAAUAUUGGGCGAGGGGCGAAAGCGUGAUCCAGCAGUGUCGCGUGAGAGAUGAAGGCGUUAGGGUUGUAAAGCUCUUUUACCCGGGGUGAGAAUGACGGUACCGGGAGAAUAAGCUCCGGCUAACUCCGUG